UACAGAGGGGGCAAGCGUUGUUCGGAAUUACUGGGCGUAAAGGGCGCGUAGGCGGCCUUCUAAGUCGAACGUGAAAUCCCCGGGCUCAACCCGGGAACUGCGUCCGAUACUGGAAGGCUUGAAUUCGGGAGAGGGAUGCGGAAUUCCAGGUGUAGCGGUGAAAUGCGUAGAUAUCUGGAGGAACACCGGUGGCGAAGGCGACAUCCUGGACCGGUAUUGACGCUGAGGCGCGAAAGCCAGGGGAGCAAACGGG
rnacentral:rRNA from 1 species